rnacentral:rRNA from 1 species
AUAUUAGUCAAUGCUCGCAAGAGUGAACUAGCUAACUGAAAUCCUCAAUGUGUCAUUGGGGAUAACGUAAGGGAAAAUAAUGAUAUUACCUUACUAUUAGUGUCGUCCAAGUACUCGUGCCAGAAGACUCGGUAAGGCGAGAGACGCAAACGUUAUUCGUCUUGAUCAGGCGUAAAGGGUUUGUAGGCUGCUUUAAGUAUCUAAUUUUUAGUUUACUAUUUUAAUCUUUAAAAAUAAAUAUAUAAUAAAAUAUAUAUCAUAUUAUUUAAUAUUAAAAAAAUAAAGAAAGGAUCAAUUAAAGCUAGAAUCUAAAAGAGGUUAAAACAAUACUUCAGAAAGGAGUGCUAACCGUAGAUAAGGAGCAGAGUGUUAAGGGCGAAGGCAUUUAUCCAAUAAAGAUUGACGCUGAGAAACGAAGGUGAGGACAGAAAAAAGGAUUAGAGACCCUUGUAUCCCUCACUGUCAACGAUGAAUGGUAGUUACUAGUAAGAAAUAAGCUAGAGACGAUGUUAACACGAAAACCAUUCCGCCUUGUGAGUACGACUGCAAAGUUGAAAACAAAAAAAUUAGUCGGUUUCGGAGCAAACAGAAGUGAAGCAUGUUAUUUAAUUCGAAUAAAAUCCGC